rnacentral:misc_RNA from 1 species
GAUUAAUGCUGCUGCUGUAAUUGUCUGAAUAAGAAGCACAAGAGAGCCUAUUACUAAUUUCUUAUCUUGGAAUAUUUUUGAUGCGGACUUUUGUUGAUGAGUGUAGGGAUUAUGCACUGAAAGCACAGUGAUACCCUUGUAUAGGGUCAUGAGUGUGGCCCCGCCCAAUCCAACUAUAGUUCCUCCAAGCUUUGCUAGGCCACUGAGCUUGGAAAUGUCUAAUUUCUCCAUCCUGCAUAAA